rnacentral:rRNA from 1 species
AACAAACGCUGGCGGCGUGCCUAACACAUGCAAGUCGUACGAGAAAGGGUCCUUCGGGGCCUGAGUAAAGUGGCGCACGGGUGAGUAACGCGUGGAUAAUCUGCCCUUCAGUUGGGAAUAACUCAUCGAAAGGUGGGCUAAUACCGAAUAAUGCUGUGAGACCUCGGUUGAUCAGCCAAAGAGAGCCUCUGCUUGCAAGCCCUCGCUGAAGGAUGAGUCCGCGUACCAUUAGCUAGUUGGUAGGGUAAUGGCCUACCAAGGCGACGAUGGUUAGCUGGUCUGGGAGGAUGAUCAGCCACACUGGAACGGAGACACGGUCCAGACUCCUACGGGAGGCAGCAGUGAGGAAUCUUGCGCAAUGGGGGCAACACUGACGCAGCAACGCCGCGUGAGUGAGGAAGGUCUUCGGAUCGUAAAGCUCUGUCGGAUGGAAAGAACCGCAUAGGGGUAAACAGCCCCUGUGUCUGACGGUACCAUCAAAGGAAGCACCGGCUAACUCCGUGCCAGCAGCCGCAGUAAUAC